rnacentral:misc_RNA from 1 species
GAUGAAGAACGUAGCGAAAUGCGAUAAGUAGUGUGAAUUGCAGAAUUCAGUGAAUCAUCGAAUCUUUGAACGCACAUUGCGCCUCCUGGCAUUCCGGGAGGCAUGCCUGUUCGAGCGUCAUCAAACCCCAUCGUGCAAAUGAAUUAUUUUUUUUGCGCGGAAGUGACGAUUGAGCGAGAUUAACAAAUCCUCUCGCACCUCGUCGAAAUGAUUGCGGGCGGAAUUUGGGAUCGGGUUCCUCGGCGUAGUGUAUCAAUGCAUAUUUAUGCAACUUGCCGCGGAGUUGAGCCUGACCCACGCGUUCUCGCCGUACAAACACCUCAUUACUUUACAAGUUUUUGACCUCGGAUCAGGUAGGGAUACCCGCUGAACUUAAGCAUAUCAAUAAGCGGAGGA